UACGUAGGGGGCAAGCGUUGUCCGGAUUUAUUGGGCGUAAAGAGCGUGUAGGCGGCUUUGCAAGUCCGUUGUGAAAACUCGAGCUCAACCUCGAGACGCCGGUGGAAACUGCAAAGCUAGAGUCCGGAAGAGGAGAGUGGAAUUCCGUGGUGUAGCGGUGAAAUGCGCAGAUAUCAGGAAGAACACCCGUGGCGAAGGCGGCUCCUCUGGGACGGUACUGACGCUGAGACGCGAAAGCGUGGGGAGCGAACAGG
rnacentral:rRNA from 1 species